rnacentral:lncRNA from 1 species
AGGCACUUGAGAAAAUAUUUACUAGCAUCCUUGUUGGAAAAUAACAUCUGGCAUAAGACCAUGUACCCCUGGCUGAUUUGUACCAACAAAUCUAUUAGUGCAAACCAGACAUAGUUCUUAAUUAAAAAAAAACACACUGAUAUAUAUCCACAUUUAAAUAGAGAGCUAUGGAAGCUUUCACCCCCCUAACCCUAAGUAGUCACAUGCUGAAGUUAACUGUGCUAGUUCUUCCUCACAACUUGGUAGGCUUGGAAGUGGAGUUGCUGAGAAAGUGGUUGCUGCUGGUUUGAGAUGCAUCGUAAGCAACCAGGAUAAGUGGUACCUAGAUCACUUGGAUGCUACAUGGGAAGGAUUUUACACGAAUGAACCACUGACAAAUAUCUAUAACCCGGAGCAGCAGAAAUUAGUACUUGGUGGUGAGGUAUGCAUGUGGGGUGAACACAUCGAUGCAUCAGACAUUCAGCAGACCAUUUGGCCACGUGCUGCAGCAGCUGCAGGUAUGAUCAGCUCAAUAUGUUUUGACCUAAUUUUGCCUGCAUUAAUAUUUUAGCAGAUCCAUUCUUAUAAAAUAGCUAAAUUAAGUGGACUAGCAGUCAGGACGUACUGUCAUAAGUACAUUCUUUUCUUGGGUUAUAGAGUAGCACAUAGAUCAUCAUAGGUUCACAUGGGACGCAAUAUCUGCAUCAAGGCAGUUGAUGUUCUCUUUCCAUACCCAGAACACAAGCGCUUGAUACUAUAAGCAAUGAAGUGAGCAGUAAUUGCUACCAACCUGUCAGAAUGGGGAUCUUUCAUAACCAAGUGCUCUGAUGUGAUUUGUUGUACGAGAGAAUUGGGAGUUGGGAGUUGGGAGACACGCAUCACACCGUAGCUACAAACUGAAAUAUUUAUUCUUCCUUAUUUUAAGCGAACAUGAAUGUAUAUGCAGACUACAAAAAGACUAGACAUGCCUGCAUAGUAUGAAAGGCAUAAUAAGUUAAGUCUAUCAGGUUUCUGAACACUCAUAAAUUACAUUUUAUUAACAAUGUAUAGUUUUGUUUUGAGUUCUCUCUUAAAAAAAGCGAAGUUAAAUAACCUGCAUGUCUGUAUCAAGUUGCCUUGUCUCACCACAUCACUUACUGAUUUUGAAGAGCGGUUAUGGACACCAAUUGAGAAGCUUGCGAAGGACACAAGAUCGGUCACUGCAAGAUUGGCACGCUUCAGGUGCUUGCUGAAUCAAAGAGGGGUUGCUGCUGCACCACUAGCUGGUUAUGGCCGCUCAGCACCAUCAGAACCAGGUUCCUGCCUAAGGCAGUAGAUAUUCAUAUCAGGCGCAUAUAUUAUUCAUAGAGGAGAAUAAAUAGAAUUCCAGGCAUCCAAUUUACUUCUCUGAGAAAUCAAAAAUAGCUCAGAUCAAUGUAAGGCGAACCCGCAGAAUGUCCUAUUUUCUAUAUAUCUGAUGCGGUGUAUUCAUUUGGAGAUAUCUGGCCCUGUUUUACUUUCAGUGUACGGUCAUGAAUAUCAAGAUUUGGUUCCAUACCACCAAUGAAACAAAAAUUCUUAGCAUCUGUUCUAAAGAAAAAAAUGCUCCAUCUUCUGUGCUAGUUGCCCAACACGCCCAGCAGAAGCUUAUGAGGGAGCUUGACUUCAUCAACGCUCAAUCCCCAGCACAAGAUGCCGCUAUCACAGCCUAUGUUGAUACGUAAGCGCAGGAUCUCCCAGAUCAUGGGAUCAAAGCGAUCAAGGCAGCGACCAAACUUGGGAACAAGAAGCUGUCCGCAGCCUUGGCAGCUGAUGCCGGAUUUGCCCGCGCCGCUAGACGACGACGAGUGCGUCUCGGACUUGCCGUGCUCGACGUUUCUUCUCCCGGACACGAUCUCGAACAGCGUCAUGCCGUAGCUGAACACGUCGGCUUUGGCGGUGAUCGCCUCGCCGCUGAUCCACUCUGGCGCGAGGUAGUACCCGAUGGUUCCGCGCACGGUGGUCAGGAUCAGGACGCGGCUGAAGUCUCUGCCGACGAGCUUGGCGAGCCCGAAGUCGGCCACCUUGGGCGCCAAGUCGGCGUCGAGGAGGAUGAUCUCCGGCUUGACGUCGCAGUGGAUGAUGCAGUCCGGCCCGGCACUUGUCGUGCAGGUAGGCGAGCCCCUUGGCGACGCCGAGCGCGCCAGCUGAGCGUGUAGAGCGUGGCGCCGAACAGGUGCCGGUCCAGCGAGCCGUUGGGCAUGUACUCGUAGACGAGCAGCUUCCGGCCGCCGCCCUCGGAGCAGAAGCCGAGCAGGUGGAUCAGAUUGACGUGCUGGAUGGUGCCCAGCGUGCUCACCUCCGCGCGGAACUGCUUUCUCGCCUUGCUGGAGCCCCUCCAGCUUCUUGACAGCUAGCGAUGGCAGUGCCGUCGGGGAGCUGACCCCGGAACACGUACGGAGCCGAAGGCGCCACCGCCGAGCUUGUCGGAGAAAUUCUUGGUCAGGGACUGGAGCUCCCUGUAUUUCAAGGUCGUAGCCACGCAUGCCUCGGCGGUGGUAAUCUUUUUCCGCCGUGCCAUCGUUGCCCGGACGAUGAGGAUGGACGCGGCGACGGCGAGCAAGAAGCAGACGACUGCGAGUGCGACGCCGAUGGCGAUCAUGUCAGCAUCCCCCAUCCUGGGCAUCCUCCAGGUCCAGAGUCUUCAAGGCCCAGAAGGGGAUCGCGGCCCAGGCGUCCAAACAACAAGGUCGCUGGGCCCAAAUACAGCCCACACUAGGACCUAUGUCUAUGUGCAACUGGAGCGGUUCUAUUUUUUUUUUAAUAUAGAAACAAGCCCAAACGGUUCUACGCUGCGCUUGGCCCCCCUGUUUCCUCUGCCGCCAACCGCCAACCGCUCGUUCCCCUUCGUCGCCGUCACCCGCACUACGAACCCUAGAUCGGUGUAGUUGCUCCUGCGCGUCCCUAUUCGAUGCCCCCCAUGGAGAUCGGAUCAACAGAUCAGCCGGUCUCUUCGAUUGUCCCUAGCUGGGUGGUCGUAGACCAGGAUAUCUACCGCAAGGCGCUUGCCUCCUUCCGCCCCGGCCACCUUACCUCCGCGAAGACCCGCGCCAGCAACGGCGAGGUCGUCCGCGUCUCUUUCACCGUGCGCCCGCUGCCGUGUGCCUCCCGCCUCUGCGUCCACUUUCCGAAGAGUCGUCGCAAGCUGUGCGGCUUCGACACCGUCGUGGCGGCGCACGGCAAAGCCGUGCUUUUCCGUCUCCGCAUCGACUUCAAAGGACUCCCCUCAUCGUGCUCCGCGAUCGACCACUUCAUCUUCUGGGCCAGCCCUGGCGGUUCCAGGAUCUCACUGCUCCCACGUUGGUACUCGACCGAGGAUGAGAUAGAGGCAGCUGAGGUGGGCUCCUGGAGGAGAAACCCUUAUAUGGCUCUAGGCCGCAGCGGCACUGGAUUGUUUAUCUCUGAUAGAGAAGAUUUCGUGGUGGCGGAGCUCCAUCUCGAUGUGGACAGGCUUGAAGACGUGGAUGCACCUCUGGAAGCACAGCUCUUCAGGCUCUGCUCCAGCAGGGAAAGAAUUGCUGCAGGUGGUGGCGAGUGGGAGGUUAAGCACGCAAGGGCCCGUGGGGGUAAGGCUAAUUAAGUUUGGUGACUUACUCUGCUGGUGGGAAGCUAGCAUGGUUAUCCCUUGCGGCAGUUACCUGUGUUGGGUUGAUUACUCAAGGGGUGUCAUUUUCUGUGACGUUAAUCACCCUUCCCCUCACCUCCAGUACGUCUCCUUGCCGGUGGAUCACAUUCCUUUUGGCUAUCCUGACCCAUUCAGCAGAGGAUUCCCACAGGCGUCCCGGGCUGUGUGCGUUACCAAGAAUGAAACGUUGAAGUUUGUCAAUAUUGCCCGCAGCGAUGGCAUGCUAUCUGGCAAGAGUGAGCCUGGUUCCAGUUUCACAAUCACCAUCUCGACGCUGCACGAUAGCUAUGAUGAUAUGUGGUGGGUGACAGAUACCACAGUUCAAGCUGCUAACCUCUGGGAUAUGGAGGGUUAUGAUGAUCAGCUUCCACGCGUUGUGCCGCAAUUCCCUCUGGUGAGCAUGGAUGAUCCCAGCAUCAUAUAUUUUGUAUUGAAGGAUAGGCGCACAGUUUCUAGUGCAAGGGCAUGGGUGGUUGCUCUUAACAUAGAUAGCAGCAAGGUUUUAUGGUAUAAGGAUAUCAAAACCAUCCCUUCUGAUGAGGACACUGAAAUGGCCCCUGGCAACAUCUUCUGCAAUUUGCCAUUCUUUCCUGCUGAGUUCACCAAGCAUCUGCGGCAGGUUGCUGUCAGUCAGGUAGGUGAUCACUGGUUACACAUAUAAAAUAGUUAUUUUGUUCUUCCUUCCUAUUUAUUAAUAGAGACAAGUAAUUGGUCUUGUGCGCUCUGCACUGGUUGGUAAAUUGUUUAUCUACCUUUCUAGUUCUAAUAUUUGUAGAUGUAAUGAAAUUAAGUAUGAUCAUCCAUACUUUAAGUGCUAAUGAAUAAUAAUGUCUUUCGCGGCCUGUCUAGAAUGGAGUGUUCGUUAUCCAAAUCAAUAGGAUUUAAUACAAACUUGAAUGAAAUCUCACAUCUUGCCUAGCCACUUCAGUGUUUUUGUUUCUGUGAUCUGCUCAUAAUAUGGAAUUCCCGUGUUCCUCUGUUUUCUGUUUAGCAUUGCCAUUUGAAAGGAAACACUGAAUUCAAUAUACAUGUAUAUAUAAGCUCUUAGUACUAUUCCAAAGAUGUGUGCAAGCUUAAUUUUAUGAUUAUAUUACAUACUUAUACUACUACAACAAUAGCUGGACAAAGCCUUAGUUAGUCUUAUCUAUGGGAUCCUGUCUCUUACAGUAUGUUUGGAUUAAGUGAUAGGGGAGUGGGAUAUGGAUUGGGAUAGGUGACAAAGUAAUGCUAACAUUUCUCUUUUUUUUUUUUUUGAUUUGACGGAGGAGAGUUAUCCCAAUUUGACCUCUUACAUCUGUUUUGCAAAUUAGUUGUGGAAAAUGCAAAAUGCAUCUUCUGUCUCAUUUUGAAAAAAUGUUAUUAAUAAUCAUCUAGUUAGCUUUGUAAUAAGCAAUCAGCAUUGUAGGAAUAACAUUCUGCCCAUAUAUUUUGUUUCUAAAUUACGUUUAGAUUGGCCAACAACUCAUCAAACAAACUGUAGAAACCUGUACUUCCAUGUUUAUGUCCUUAUCAAAGGAAAAAUUUCUACUGCAGUAGUUUAUAGAAGCUUGCUGGUGGAGUCGGACACGAGUGCAUGUGUUUACUAUAAUUAUAUUCUAAAUUUGGUUGAAUUUGUUUGUCCUAGCUGUUACCUAGACAAUUGGUCAACGAUCAUUAAAAAAAAUGAUGAGUCCUUCCCAUCAUCCUCAUUUUUUCUCUGGCAGUUGUUUGAAUAUGAGAUUGCCUUGCCAAGCUGACUCAGUUUUCUUGUAUUUUGGCACCUUUUGAAAGCUAACACUUAUAUUACGUUUGCCUGAACGAUUGGAUUAGUUUUAGGAGUUGAAGACAAGUAUGUCAAGAAUGAAUUAGACUGAAUUUGUCAAUUUUACUUUAAUGUUUGUAACUGGCAAAUAAUUUGUUCUAUGGCGAUGCAUCAUCAUUCGAAAAUUAAAUUAGAAUGGGGGUCGAGUGGACGAGAGGAUUAGGCCAUUGGGUUGGUGUCGCGGUCCACCAACUGAGCGUCCAGACGAUCAGACGCCCUCAUCCUAGCAUUUCCGAUCUUGAUAACCAUGAAAAUGGAAAUCGUAGAGUUCUCGAGCCAAAGCUCACCGCUGUCGGGCGAUAACAUCGGCUUCAAGUACUGCAGAAAGAAAGACGACACAAGCCGUGUGUCGGGUAUGGGCUGCUAAUAGCUACUCGGCCAACUGGCACAUCGACAUGCGGUCCACUGGGGCUUCCUGACUCUGGGUCAAACUUGAAAUUCUGACUCUUCAAGAUUCUUGAAAUGUCAUCUCUUGUCGGAUCCGCCACCCACCCACCAGAUCCGCCACCCCACCUGUCGGUGGGAGCUCGUUGAAGGCGGGGGCAUCGGGUGGGAAGGAAGAAGCCGCCGCUGCUCAGGAAUGAGGGAGGGAGCUGCCGCAGCCACUCGGGAGGGAGCGAGCCGCCGUCGCUGCUUGGGAAGGAUGGCGUUGCCGCCCCUAGGAGGGAGGGAAGGAGCCGUUUGUGCAAGGGUAGUGGGAAAGAAACCCUAAGACACUGGUGUGUGUGUGUGUCUAUAUAUAUAUAUAUAUAUAUAUAUAUAUAUAUAUAUAUAUAUAUAUAUAUAUAUAUAUAUAUAUAUAUAUAUACACACACACAAAAUAACGCGAUAUCGGGUCGAAAUGAGCUGCCUGUUGGGCCACGAUUUUUUGAGGCGGUUGGCUUAAGAUGGCUGUCUUGGUAAAUCGAUUUUGUGAGAUGGUUUUUUUAAUCGACUUGAUUAAUAAAAAAUGCCAGUCUCAGUUUGAAAUCAAGGCAGUUGGAAAUGUUGCCUGUCUUCGAUGCCUUUUUUUCAAAAUUCUUCGCAAAAGAUUUUUUUUAGUAGUGUUACCGUUUGCUCGGGCGAUAUCUCCGCCUCAAUGCCAUCUAAGAAGAGGGAGUAAAUUAUUAGCCUUGCUCUUAGAUCUAUCUACCACUUUGUUAGCCCUGGUGCAGUUCUUCGACAAACUGACACAGUCGUUAGAUAGAGCUAGCCAAAGGUGAAAGGUGCGUGUAGGGGCUAUACAUGGCCAUGCAGCCCAUGGCCCAUGGCCCGGUCCGAGCACGACAUGGCCCAGCUCAAAGGACUAGACCGUGCCUAGGCCGCCACCUAGGCGCACGGCACGGCAUGGACAUGGGCCGUUUCAACGUCCGGCUCGAUGAAAAUAAAUUGUUGGUGUAGUUGUAACUUGCAUAUAUAUAUGUUGUUAAUUGUUAUACUGCUUAAAAUAAUGAACAAUUAGUGAAAAUAAUGAAAUAUUUCAGCAUUUAGUGAAAAUGUUGAUAAAAAAGAGUUGUUGUCAUCUUGAUGAGUCAUGUGCUGGCACGGCACAGCGUGCUUGACGAGCUGACAUGACACAAAAAUCGGCCUACGAGCCGUGACAUCACACAAAAAUCGGCCUGCGAGCCGUGCCUUGGGCGGAAGGCCAGGCACGAAGCUCGUAGAAGUAUGGUCCCCUAGACACGACGGCACAUAACGAUCCGACGAUCUACGGCACGGCACGACACGACGUCGUUGCGCCAGGGGUAUGCGAGAGCUCGCGCGCGCAUGGGCAAAUCUAUAUAGGCCAUACUGGAUGUGGGUGCACCUAUAAAUAUAUCAAAAAUAGUGAUUAUUGUUAAAUUUUCACUAUGUUCGCAUCCACAUAGUAAAAUCCUAUACAUCCACGGAACAAGCGCACUCAUAUUUGCUCUAGCUCCGCCACUGCGCGCACGGUCUGGUCUGCACAACCAGUCUUCUUGACUACUAUAAUAGUAUUCUUGACUCUUGAGGGUGUGUGUCGUCUUGCUCUUGCUACAGUUAUCUCCAAGGACUAUUGUGGCCCGUGCCUGGAUGUCCCGGUCAUGAAAUUGGAUGGAGGUUGAAAUUUGCUCUCAGGGGAGUCAAAGUGUCUUCGUCGCAUGAGCAGCUGUACACUGGUCGUAUGUGUUGCUGCUGCCCGCGUUUCUAUGGGGAGGGGAGGACCGUCCUGGACGCCGCCUCUGACCAUACUGCCAUCUCCCUUCCCGAAUUCGGGGUCCGGCCUUUGAAUUGAAGGCCUCGCUCCAUCGGUGACGCAUCAUCACGCCGUACUGUUUUCCGUAAGGUCGAUCGACUUCUAGCUACCAUAAUGGUAUGGUGAUCGAGUGAAUGCAUGUACUGACGCAAACGUGGUCUCCAAACUAAGGCAUUGUUUAGUUCACGCUAAAAACCAAAAACUUUUUAAGGUUCCGUCAUAUCGAAUUUUGUGGUAAAAAUAUAGAUGAAAAUAAAAACUAAUUGUACAGUUUGUCUGUAAAUCGCGAGACAAAUCUUUUAAGCCUAGUUACUCCAUAAUUAAACAAUAUUUGUCAAAUAAAAACAAAAGUGCUACAGUGUCAAAAUCCAAAUAAAUUUCGGAUCUAGACCUUGUUUAGUUCACCCCAAAAACAAAAAACUUUUCAAGAUUUUCCGUCACAUUGAAUCUUGCGGCAUACGCAUGAAGCAUUAAAUAUAGAUGAAAACAAAAACUAAUUGCACAGUUUGUCUGUAAAUCGUGAGACGAAUCUUUUAAGCUUAGUUGCUCUAUGAUUGGACAAUGCCAAAUAAAAAUGAAAGUGAUACAGUGUCAGAAUCCAAAAUGUUUUCGGAUCUAAACAAGGCCUAAGCUGGUAUGGUGAUCGAGUGAAUGGUAUGGAUUUUGACACUGUAGCACUUUUGUUUUUAUUUGAUAAACAUUAUCAAUCAUGGAGUAACUAGGGUUAAAAGAUUUGUCUCUCAAUUUACAGACAAACUGUGCAAUUAGUUUUUGUUUUUAUCUAUAUUUAUUGCUUUAUGCAUGUGCCGCAAGAUUCAAUGUGAUGGGGAUUCUUGAAAAAAUUUUAAUUUUUAGGUGAACUAAACGAGGCCUAAAUAUAGUUCAUCAAGACAAUUCGGAGAAGCACUGAUGAAGCAAUCACUUUUUUUUAAUCUGCAGAAGGUAUAUGUGGCAGAGCAGCAAUGAACUUGUGCCGCGCGCGUGCUGUUUUUCAAGAUUCUCCAUUACAAUCUUGCGGCACAUGUAUGAAACACUAAAUAUAGACAAAAAUAAAAAACUAAUUGCAGUAAAUCGCGAGAUGAAUUUUUUAAGCCUAGUUACUAUAUGAUUAAACAAUGCUGGUCAAAUAAAAGCAAAAGUGCUACAGUUUUCGAAAACCAAAAAAUUUUCAGAACUCCACAAUAAUAAAAAGCGGCAUCGGGUUGUGCUGCUGAACUGCAUAGGGGGCUGAUAACAUCUGCAGAUUUUUGUAGUAUAAAACACUGUUAUAAAUUAAGAAAUAUCAUGUCAUGUGAUCACAUUAAUCUUGAUAACCCUGAUAAUGUUGUCGGCUAGAUUUGACCCUCAACUCCUUCACAUAAUAAGGAGCAAAUGGCAUGUACACUGGCGAUCAAACUCCUAGGGAGGGUCAAACGGAGAGGAGGUACAUCACACAUUACUGUGUUAGUAAAACCUAUAGAUGUUCAACUGAUCAAUAAUGCAUGAUGCGUGUAUGGUCUUGGCGUUGUCUAAGAGCAAGACUAAUAAUAUAUACAGUCCACUUAUUAACCCACUUAUAUAUAUAUUAGUUGGCUCACCUAUAACCUACUUUUAUCUCAUAAAUUUUUUUAGCACUUGUACAUAAGUUGGCUGUAAACUUAUAACACAUUUCUCUAGCUCAGCAAAACUCAUCUACAGUACUUUAUUAUACUUCUAAUUCAACCUUGCGCAACUUUCCUUCAAUAUUUAUGCUCAUUGCUCAUUCACUCUCUCAAUUAGUUUUUUUAGGGGAACUCUCUUCCUCAAUUGGUGUAUCCUCCUUGGGGCUAGAAUUGGAGGAUCGGUCCUUCAAUAGGUUUGAAUUUAUGAUUUCAUAUCGGGCCAAUAUUCUUAAUUGGGCCGGAGGCUAGGAUAGAGCGGCGGGUUAUGCUCGGUUCACUAUUUCCCUAUCUUUUUUUUGUUUAUCUUUUCUUUUCUCUUAUUAUUUCUUUUUUUUUGUUUUCUAUCCUUGCUUCUAUUUAUUUUAUAUUUUUCAUUGUUUUUAUUUCUUUGGUUUUCAUUAUUCUUAUCAUUGUUUUCUUUUAUCUAUAUUUUACCAUAAUUACUUAUUUUCUUUAUUUCAUUUCAUUUCAUAUUUCAAUGUUUUGUUCCUUAUCAUUUUUUUUCUACUUAUAUUUACUUUCCCUAUUCUUGUAUGUUUUCUAUGGAUUUUUAUUAUUUCCAUUGUAGUUUCUUUACUCGGCAGACAAUUGCAUGUGUGUACAUUUGUGAUGUGUAUUCUGUAUCUUUAUGUGUUAUAUUAUAUCACGUACCAAAACAUUUGACUUUGCUUGACUAUAGAAACAAUUUUGUGUAUUGCGAUGUGUCUUUUGUAUUUUUGUGCGCUACAUCAUAAACCAACAUUUGGUUUUGCUUAAUUAUAGAAAUAAUUUAGGCAACUGUGAUGUGUCUUCUACAUUUGUGUGGGUUACAUCACAUACCAAAACAUUUGACUUUGUUUUUCUACUCCAUUCGUUCCAAAUUAUAAGUUGUUUUGACUUUUUUGAUACGUAGAAUUUGCUAUGGUGUAUAUAGACAUACAUUAUAUCUAGACAAACCUUUUUCGAUAAUCGGACAAAAGUUUUGUCAAACUAAUAAACCAACAUUUGGUUUUGCUUAAUUAUAGAAAUAAUUUAGGCAACCGUGAUGUGUCUUCUACAUUUGUGUGGGUUACAUCACAUACCAAAACAUUUGACUUUGUUUUUCUCUCCAUUCGUUCUAAAUUAUAAGUCGUUUUGACUUUUUUGAUACGUAGAAUUUGCUAUGGUGUAUAUAGACAUACAUUAUAUCUAGACAAACCUUUUUCGAUAAUCGGACAAAAGUUUUGUCAAACUAAUAAACCAACAUUUGGUUUUGCUUAAUUAUAGAAAUAAUUUAGGCAACCGUGAUGUGUCUUCUACAUUUGUGUGGGUUACAUCACAUACCAAAACAUUUGACUUUGUUUUUCUACUCCAUUCGUUCCAAAUUAUAAGUCGUUUUGACUUUUUUGAUACGUAGAAUUUGCUAUGGUGUAUAUAGACAUACAUUAUAUCUAGACAAACCUUUUUCGAUAAUCGGACAAAAGUUUUGUCAAACUACUACAUGUACUUCAUGAGGUCCCUUGUCGUGGUUGGAAUCCUUGGAAUGUUGCACGGAGGUCCUUCUGAGCUGGUCCCAUGAAAUGGAUGGAGAAAGGCUUCAAUAAAAUAUACCAGUCAUGUACCAUUAUGAUUGAUUUUGCCAGUGCUAGGUUAUCGCCUCCUAAGAUAAUCAUUGUCACAUUUGUUUUUGUAGCUUCUCGAUUUCUUGCUUGUGUGCUUCUAGUUUUGCCAAGGCUUGGUUUUUGUUGGUUUCUUGCAUGUCUUCACUCUCAAAGCUAGGCGUCAUCUUCGUCUCUAAAUGUGUCAUAACUGAGGUACCAUUCGAGUAAAUCUCCCAUUGGGUAUGCUUCCUUGUCUAUCUCCAUGCCAUGCGAGCCUUUAGGGUUGGGUGGGAUAGUUGCGUUUUUCUUUCAUCUUGCUCUUUGGAUGGGGGUAGGAGCAUUGGAAAGUUCGCAAUAACCAUAGGUGGAUGCAUCUUCAACAUCUUAAAGGCCGAUGACUUCACAUCUUCAGCACCCAUUCGGAGACAACUUUGCAUUCCCCAUGUGACCUCAUGCCUUCGGGCUUUUCGAAAACAGCUUUGCCAAACCACGUACAACUCUCUAGAUUUGGCUAGAUGCCUUAAAUUUUGAAGAUGGCUUCACUAAACCCUUUGGUUGUCCCAUGGAUGGUGUCACUUACCUGCGCGACAUGUGAAUGACCCUAUUUUGUUAAGAGAACUACGGAGGGGAGAGAUUCUCUACCUGGAAAUGUGUGAAUGUCCUGUGAAAUGACAUCUUUUGUAUAUGUCAAAGGUUAAUAAGAAACUAAUAUGUGAAUUAGUGAAGAGAGGAUGCCCAGUGAAGGAUAUAGACAUGCCCCAGCAGGUAUUAUUUGAAAAACAUAUGUGUGAACAAAGAAACAUAUAGUUUAUGCUGUAACUAUUUAAAUUUUAUAAGAGAUAUAGCGUAACCUCUUCAGUCUUCACUUCACUCGACCAAGUAACUGAAUGAACAUUGUUGGUAAAAGCUUGAAACAAAAACAGAGAGACCAACCAUGUGAUAUAUUUAAACCAAAGGGGCAUAUGAGAUAGCAGCGGCUCUCUCGUAAACGGUGACUUAUCACUUUCGUUUUUAUUUGUUAAUUAUUAUCUAAUUGUAAACUAACUAAAUUUAAAAGAUUCGUCUCGCAAAUUACAGGUAAACUAUAUAAUUAAUUAUUCUUUUAUUUAUAUUUAAUGUUCUAUGUAUGUGCCCAAAAAUUUCGAUGUAAUAGAGAAUCUUAAAAAAAAUUUAGAUUUUAGUGUAAAACCUAUACACGCCAUUAUCAACAAAAUACUACAGAGCAGAGACAGCUUAUUAGCAUAUGGCAUGC